ACACUAUUGAGGAGUUCAACAAUAGAACGAAACGGCCGUCCAGUAC
rfam:Schistosoma curassoni strain Dakar, Senegal genome assembly, scaffold: SCTD_scaffold0004425